rnacentral:pre_miRNA from 1 species
CAUGGCACACGAUAUUGGCACGGCUCAAUCAAACUAAAGGAUCCAAAUCUUUUUGGAAAUUUGAUUUGAUUGAGCCAUUCCAACAUCAUAAUAUGCCUG